rnacentral:sRNA from 1 species
UAUAAAUUAUAUCAGCAAUAUAAGGUAUAUAAAGUAACAGCAGAUGAGCCACUUUCUCCCUCUGAGAUUGGGCACCAUUUCCCAAGCAGGGGACUCACUUCCUUUCCUUCCUGCAGGAGUGAUGCUUCCCCCUCUGUGAAUGUGGCUUUGGGUAUGGCUAAUCCACACCCUGCACUCUGGCCUUCAGAAGCCCAGGGAGAGAAGCCUCCCAGAAGCAACCUUCCAGAACCUUCUCCAUCCUCCCACCGACCUCCCCAGCCCCUGUCCUCUCUUUGAAUCUCGUUGUCAAGUUCUUUCCGCAGACGCCUGGCUCCUUGAGGGGAGGUGCAGCUUUCAUCUGACCAUGCAGGCGUGCUUUGCAGUGGGUAGAGCAGUGCUGAAAGAACAUCAGUGUAUCAGCACAGCAAAUAUUCCAAAUGCCAGGCUGGAUUCCCUCCAAUUACCAGAACCUCCAGGCUUCUCCUCCUUUCAAGAACUUUCUGACCCUGGAUCCAGUCUAAAUGUUGGUU